GGUUGUAAAGCAACUUUCAGUUCGUGAGGAAGGGUAAGUGUAGUUAAUAGCUGCAUUAUUUGACGUUAGCGACAAGAAGAAGCACCGGCUAACUCCGUGCCAGCAGCCGCGGUAAUACGGAGGGUGCGAGCGUUAAUCGGAAUUACUGGGCGUAAAGCGCAUGCAGGUGGUUUUGUUUAAGUCAGAUGUGAAAGCCCGGGGCUCCAACCUCGGAAUUGCAUUUGAAACUGGCAGACUAGAGUACUGUAGAGGGGGGGUAGAAUUUCAGGUGUAGCGGUGAAAUGCGUAGAGAUCUGAAGGAAUACCGGUGGCGAAGGCGGCCCCCCUGGACAGAUACUGACACUCAGAUGCGAAAGCGUGGGGAGCAAACAGGAUUAGAUACCCUGGUAGUCCACGCCGUAAACGAUGUCUACUUGGAGGUUGUGGCCUUGAGCCGUGGCUUUCGGAGCUAACGCGUUAAGUAGACCGCCUGGGGAGUACGGUCGCAAGAUUAAAACUCAAAUGAAUUGACGGGGGCCCGCACAAGCGGUGGAGCAUGUGGUUUAAUUCGAUGCAACGCGAAGAACCUUACCUACUCUUGACAUCCAGAGAACUUUCCAGAGAUGGAUUGGUGCCUUCGGGAACUCUGAGACAGGUGCUGCAUGGCUGUCGUCAGCUCGUGUUGUGAAAUGUUGGGUUAAGUCCCGCAACGAGCGCAACCCUUAUCCUUGUUUGCCAGCGAGUAAUGUCGGGAACUCCAGGGAGACUGCCGGUGAUAAACCGGAGGAAGGUGGGGACGACGUCAAGUCAUCAUGGCCCUUACGAGUAGGGCUACACACGUGCUACAAUGGCGCAUACAGAGGGCGGCCAACUUGCGAAAGUGAGCGAAUCCCAAAAAGUGCGUCGUAGUCCGGAUUGGAGUCUGCAACUCGACUCCAUGAAGUCGGAAUCGCUAGUAAUCGUGGAUCAGAAUGCCACGGUGAAUACGUUCCCGGGCCUUGUACAACAACCCGCCCUCCAG
rnacentral:rRNA from 1 species